rnacentral:misc_RNA from 1 species
GCAAGUCUCCAAGAAUGGUUAAGUGAUGCAGCAAUAGGAAACAAUCCUGUCCUCCGACUGAUUGCAGGGAUUAUAUAUAUGCACGAAGAAGACUACAAUGAGGCUCUUAAGCAUACAAAUUCAGGUGGAACUAUGGAAUUGCUAGCAUUGAAUGUUCAAAUAUAUAUAAAGAUGCACAGGUCAGACUACGCAGAAAAACAGCUUAAGCUAAUGCAACAAAUAGAUGAAGAUCAUACAUUGACACAACUUGCAAAUGCAUGGCUAAACCUGGC